AAUCCAUGCAUCGGACAUUUCCUAAUUAACUCCUUAAAUCAUUCUCACACAUCAUAUAACGUUUCAUCUUUAAAUUGUCGAAAGGAUGUAAUAUCAUUUCUUAACUU
rfam:Gossypium arboreum cultivar AKA8401 contig_46486_3, whole genome shotgun sequence.